UCUAAAGGCAAAAAAUGAAAGUGUACUUUCGGGAAUGUUUUUGUAACUUGAAGCAAGUCAAUCGUCUAAAAAGUCUUCUUUUUCUAAAAAAACUAUUUCCAUAAUUAAAACAUCAAAACUUAAUCUGGAAAGGUCUGUGUCAGUGAAGAUAGCGACAAUAACAAGACAACUGUGGAUUGAGAGGGAUGCAACUACCUGAAAAAUACAAGCAGAACUUCGAUGUUGUAUCCUUUUGUAUCCCUCUCAAUCCACAGCUUUCUCAUUAAAACAUAAGCCUGUUUUUCACUUCACCAUAUCGUAACGUACUGUAGAGCAUUUUCUUUUCUGUUGAACUCGUUAGUUCCUCAGAAUAACAAAAAUAUUCAGCUAUGUUUCGGUACGAUAUACGGUUAAAGUGAAAAACAUGUUUUAGUUUUGAAAUAUUGAAAGAGACAUUCUAACCAGACUCAGUUGGAUGCGCAGAAAAGUUACGC
rnacentral:lncRNA from 1 species